rnacentral:tRNA from 1 species
GGGGAUGUGGUGAAAUUGGCAGACACGCAGCGUUCAGGGCGCUGUCCCGUUCGCGGGGUGAGAGUUCAAAUCUCUCCAUCCCCA